rnacentral:rRNA from 1 species
UACGAAGGGGGCUAGCGUUGCUCGGAAUCACUGGGCGUAAAGCGCACGUAGGCGGAUUGUUAAGUUAGGGGUGAAAUCCCAGGGCUCAACCCUGGAACUGCCUUUAAUACUGGCAAUCUCGAGUCCGAGAGAGGUGAGUGGAAUUCCGAGUGUAGAGGUGAAAUUCGUAGAUAUUCGGAGGAACACCAGUGGCGAAGGCGGCCCCCUGGACCGGUACUGACGCUGAGGCGCGAAAGCGUGGGUAGCAAACGGG